rnacentral:rRNA from 1 species
UAGGGAAUCUUCGGCAAUGGACGAAAGUCUGAUCGAGCAACGCCGCGUGAGUGAAGAAGGUUUUCGGAUCGUAAAACUCUGUUGGUAGAGAAGAACGUUGGUGAGAGUGGAAAGCUCAUCAAGUGACGGUAACUACCCAGAAAGGGACGGCUAACUACGUGCCAG